rnacentral:rRNA from 1 species
UCAAGGUAAACGGGUGGGCCCUCGAAAUCCUGUGGAGGGAGGAUUCAGUCUGUAGUUGGCGUCGCUCUGGUUGGAAACGAAGGAAGGGCUUCCCGCGAACUGGGGCCGUCCGACUGAGAGGCUUCGUCUAAGGACAGACGCAUUUGGCUCCCUCCCCGAGGACGUCGCAGCCGGUCCGGACGUUGCAAACGUGACGGCCUGAGAGGCGGGGGAUGGCAGGUGGCCGGUGGCACCCUCAUUACGGGAGUCGCCGGUUGUUAGCCGCCCCGCCCGUGGCGCGUCUCCGGACCGUGGUCAUGGAGCCCAUAUCCAGCUCCGCCUCCGCCUCAGGCUUCGGGACUGGAAGGUCGCGAGCGAAGGCAGCCGCCCUGUCGCACUCCGAUACCGAGUGGACAGGAGACGAGUCGGCGCCGGCAGCGACCGCGGACCCGUAGGGGGCAUAUCGGAGGCUUGCGGCGAGUAGGUCGGUCACCCACCCGACCCGUCUUGAAACACGGACCAAGGAGUCUAACAUGUGCGCGAGUCAAUGGGUCUCGAAUAAGCCCAGAGGCGCAAUGAAAGCAAAGGCGGUGCCUGAACGCCCGCCGAGUCGGGAUCCCCGUGGGGACACGGGGCGCACCGACGACCCGUCCCGAGCGGCUCCUGUCGCUGGGGCGGAGUGUGAGCGCACACGUUGGGACCCGAAAGAUGGUGAACUAUGCCCGGCCAGGACGAGGCCAGAGGAAACUCUGGUGGAGGUCCGCAGC